rnacentral:rRNA from 1 species
AUUGAACGCUGGCGGCAGGCCUAACACAUGCAAGUCGAACGGUAACACGAAGCGGCUUGCUGCUUCGCUGUCGCGUGGCGGACGGGUGAGUGAUGUCCGGGAGGCUGCCUGAUUGCGGGGGGUAUCUCCUGGAAACGGUUACUAUAACACCGCAUACUCCCAAGAGCAAAGAGGGGGACCUCUGGGCCCCUUGCCCUCGUGUGUGCCCCGAUGUCGGAUUAGCUUGUUGGUGGGGUAAAGGCUCACCAAGGCGACGAUCCGUAGCUGGUCUGAGAGGAUGACCAGCCACACUGGAACUGAGACACGGUCCAGACUCCUACGGGAGGCAGCAGUGGGGAAUAUUGGACAAUGGGCGCAAGCCUGAUGCAGCCAUGCCGCGUGUAUGAAGAGGGCCUUCGGGUUGUAAAGUCCUUUCAGUGGGGAGGAAGGGAGUAAAGUUAAUACCUUGCCGCAUUGACGUUACCCGCAGAAGAAGCACCGGCUAACUCCGUG